ACCAAACAGCUAGCUUAACCCACCAAAACACAGGAUUACGAUUUAAAUAAUUUUACAAAAACUUAAAGGAAAAAAUAAUCAUUGACCACCCCAGUACGGGGGAA
rnacentral:rRNA from 1 species